UAUGCUCAAUGGAUUGUAGCUAGCCAGCGGAGCCUUAUUGAAGUUAUGGCCGCAUUUCCUUCAGCUAAGACUCCUUUGGGAAUUGGGAGUAUUCUUUGAAGCGGUUGCUCCUCGUCUACAGCCACGGUUCUACUCCAUAUCAUCAUCUCCAAAGAUGGCUCCCUCCAGAACUCAUGUGACAUGUGCAUUAGUUUAUGGGCCUACACCAACAGAAAGGAUCCACCGAGGAGUUUGUUCGACAUGGAUUAAGAGUAGAAAUGGUCAAAGGUGGAACUCUACUGGAUAUAAAAAUCAGUGCAAAGAUUAGAAAUGGGAUAAAGAUGCAUUUCUGUGACAAUGAUGGGAAUCAAACUAUUCUUGUAGUUCUCGUUAGUUGGUUGGUGAGCCCUCAGUUGUUGGAUGUUACUACCAAAAUCGAUCCAUCCAGAGCACCACCUGCAGGAGUUUUCUUAUAUAAUGACCCACAAGUACUUCUUAGGCAAUAUGAUCUAUGAGCUGGAUGGAAAAUCUGAUAUCUGUUGAGAAGUUGUGAGAUUCCCAAGAUGAGUGACGACUUGGAUAAACGGGAUAUUUCAAUUCUUUUUACUGAGAGAGACGAGAG